UUUCACUCUAACUAUACUAUAUUUCAUUUAGAAUAGUAUGGCAAUUGAUGUUGGUUACCAACAUAAUGAAACACAACCAAAUAAACCUUAAACCCGCUACCUAAACCCAAACUCUAAACACUAAACCCUAAACCCAAACUCUAAACUCUAAACCCAAAUGGUAGACCCUUAAACCCUAAACCCAAAUUCUUAACUCAAACCGUAAACUAUAACAGAGCUACCUAAACCCUAAACCAAAACCCCAAACCGUAGACCCAAACAGAGAUACCUAAACCCUAAACAUCCUAAACCCAAAUUCUAAACCCUAAACCCAAACCGUAAACCCUUAACCCAAACCUUAAACCCAAAUUGUAAAACCAAACCAUCGC
rnacentral:lncRNA from 1 species